UUUUUUUUGUUUUUUUUUUUUUGAAAACUGGAAUUGAACUAGAUUAUUAGUUCUUUGUCUUUUCAAGUCAUAGGACUUUGGAUGUUUGAAGUUUUGACCUGAAUAGGGAGUGCUAGGGCCAACUACUAACAGAGUCAAUUUCAUGGAGGAAGUGUAAAUGUGCACCUGGAGUCACAGCCCUACAAAGAACUAUGUCCACCCCAAAGUUUUAAGCAUCUAGUUAUUUAAUGACAUCCUCAGACUAAUUAAAAGUAUACAAACUAUACUUGCUAAGUUUUUCCCUGGAUUCAAGGAUCUUUUGUCCAAUCUUUUACAGACCUCAUUGUAAUGACUGAAAUCCCUCAGUACAGUAGUUACAGAACUAGUGAUCUUUAAACAGCCAGUUAUCUAUUUUUUAAAACUUAAUACUGUAAGCUUAAUGAAUUUUAAAAAUGUCUUAAAUGUAAUGAAUGCAGAACAGAUAAUGUCUCCAAUACUGGAGCUGUAUUUGUGUGCUUUAAGAUAAGGACUGGCAGUUACAAAGCUGAAUUGUGUGAGUUGUGAAGUUCAGAAUUGGUUUGGGCAGAUGUGACCUUUUCAAGAUUUUCAUCAAGUUGAUAUUUAAAAAUAGUUCUUGUCCCAUGGAAUGGAUCUUCAUCUCACCUUUUAGAGCUCCUUCAUUUAUGUACUUGAUAGUAAGUUUCAGAGUACAAAAUUAUGAGUAAUGCCUUGUGUAAAACUAAAACUUGAAAAGUAAUGAGGGUAGGAAGAGCCAGCCCUGUGAGGGCUCACACUUCCCCGGCAGCUUAAACCGUCAGGAGUAGGCUGCUUCUAGGCAAUCACUCUGCCUCCCGAGUUACUCCCAGCCCCUGAACAGACACCUAAAGGCCCUGUGAGCAGGGAGCCAAUUCCAGCGCCACUGGUUUGCCUUACAGAACAUUUCGGUUCUUUACUGUGAAACUUAAGAGUCCCUAGUCCACAUUAGAGUGGGGCAAAAAUGUUCUUCAGAGCUCAGAAUAACCAAAGAGUACCAUUCUAAUAUAUUGAUUUCUUGUAUAACACAGAGAUUUAAAUGCUUCAGUGGUGAUCAUUUGGAUUUUAAACUCACCUUUGCGUCAGUUCUCAUAAUGAGACAGCUUAGAAUUAAAGGUAUUUGGCUUAUUUAAGAACAGAGGUUAUCAUAGCUUUGGUCAAGUUUUGUUUGUUUUGUUUUUAGAGACAGGGUUUCUCUAUGUAAUAACCCUGGCUGUCCUGGGCUCGCUUUGUGGACCAGGCAGGCUGACCUCAAACUCAUAGAGAUCUGCCUGCCAAGUGCUGUGACUAGAGGUCUGUGCCACCACACCUGGCUGGUUAGUUUCUUUAUUAAGGAACUCAGGUGGCUAGAUUAUUGGAUAUGAUGAAACCUGAAGUAGAACAUCAGUUUAAUCCUUUAUCCAUUUGGGGGUGGGAGUGUCUUUUAUUUUGUUUUCAAACGUUCUUACAUAGUUCAGGCUAACCUCUCCUCUCUUUUUUUUUUUUUUUUCUUUGAGAUAAGUUUUCUUUAUCUAGUCCUGGUUGUCCUGGAUCAGGCUGACCUCUUCAGUGACUGUGUAGUUAGUUGAACAUAACCUUGAACCUCUGGGUCCUCCUUGGGUUAAAGUGAGCCACAUGCCUGUCUCUUCUUCAUUCUUUACUUAAUUCCUCUAAAAUUGGUCAUGAAAUUUAAGACACUUAGCUAUGCUUUUAAAAUUAUAUUUCUAAGCCUUAAUGUAUAUUUCUCAUUUUUAUAAAUUAAUAUAGAAGAGAAUAUUUUGAGGCAAACACCGUUUUUACAACUCAUUUCUUCCUAAGGAGAAUUCUUGUUCCAAGUAAGAGAAUGGCUGGCUCUGUGAUAAACCUCUAAGGUAGUUGGUUUGGUUGGUUGGUUACAGGUUGCCCUAACUAAAUCUCACCAUUUUCAUAAACAUUUUGUUUUUUAAAAACACAACUCCUGAACCAGUACUUAGUUUCAAGCACAUUCAUUAGCCCAGACUGGCCUGGAGCUCACUAGCCCUAGGUUGGCCUUGAGCUCUUCUGGGAUUAAGCCACUACACCUGGUUUAACCUGAUUAAUUUUGACCAUGUUUUUAAUAUGGCCUGUAUGCCAUAUAAUUCCAAAAUAAACUUGGGUGAUCCAUAUAAAUUACUUUAUUAAGCAUAAUGAAGAAGUUAUUAAAAUUUGCUUGUGGGAUUGGAGAGAUAGCUGUUAGCUUAGCAGGUAAGACCACUUGUUCUUGCAGAAGUCCUAGGUUUGAGUCCCAGCAACCAUAUAGCUGCCCACAACUGUCUAUAACUCCAGUUCCAAGCAAUGCAACUGUUCUGAGUCUGAGGCCACCAGGCACGCACACAGGAAGGAAGCUGAGGCAAGAGGAUUGCUAGUUCCAUGUCAACCUGAAGUUACAUACCAAAACCUUAACUCAAAAUCCUCUUUGUCUCUCCCUUCUUUAAUACACCCGUGGUUUGCUGUGCCGUGUGUUUGUACAUUGCAUUGCUCUUCUAACCCCAAUUAAAUAUCACUAUCCUUUCAAGAAUUACAAUUAAAGCUAUUAACAUGCCACAUGCAGGUGUCUACAUUAACACAAGUCUCAUUGCUCUGAAAGAAAAUAGUGAGAUAUAGAAGCAUUGGUUUAUAUUUUGCUUAUGCUUGGUUUCAUAAGAAGCCAGCGGGUGAGAUGGCUCAGCAGUUAAGAGCACUUGCUGCUCUUGUAGAGGCCCUGGGUGGGUUUAGUUCUCAGUCCUCACACAGUGGGCCACCACCAUCCAUAACUCCAGCUCCAGGGGAUCCAGUGCUGUCUUCUGACCUCUGAAGACUUCUAUACCACUAGACAUGCAGGCAAAACAGUCAUAUGUACAAAAUAAAUGGAAACAAAACAUGUGUUUAAAGACUUGCUCGUAUAUUAGGGAUGUGAAUCCAAUGGUAGUAUUCUACCUAAGAACAGUCACAUUGCUCUAUAGGUAUGGGAAGUAAAUUGCUGCACUUAAUUCUUUGGCAGUAAGCAGCAGACCUUUAAUGUGUAAUGGUACGUCUAGCAACUAAGAUCUUAUAUGCCUUAUGAGGUCACUUAGGUUUUUAAAUGAGAAAGAGAAGAGUCAAGCUAAACUAGAAUAAUAGGACAUACCUAAUGAGCUGUCUUCACCAGACGAGAAGCUAUGGGCUGGUGUGUAGCUCAGGACCCUUGUUUGGAUCCCCAGGGUUACUAAGAAGAAAAGUUUUUAAUCUAACUGGGACAGUGAGAGUCCUGUAUUGGCCAUCAAAAAUUGGGAACUGUUUUAAAUGAGAUAAGUUCUGACCUAAAAUUGAAUUUUCCUUUUCUCAAAAUUUUUUAUAUUUACUCUUAUUCAUGGUCUCAUCUGGGAAUCUUAACUAAUAGGGAGCCAUUCACUAACUCCUUGGUUUCUUUCCUGCAUCAAGAUAACUGAUGGUAUAGUAUGUGUCACCAGAAUGAUUUUCAGGCUAAUGACAUUAGAAUAUUUAUAUUCAGCUGGAAAUCUUGUUUUCAACAGAAUGAGUUUAUGGUAUGCUUUUCUCAAAGCUGCUAUGUUCUCAAUGAAAAAUAAUCAAUAAAUACUAAGUCAUAUGAC
rnacentral:lncRNA from 1 species